rnacentral:rRNA from 1 species
GACGAACGCUGGCGGCGUGCUUAACACAUGCAAGUCGAACGCUGAAGGCCCAGCUUGCUGGGUUGGAUGAGUGGCGAACGGGUGAGUAACACGUGAGUAACCUGCCCCCUUCUUUGGGAUAACGGUCGGAAACGGCUGCUAAUACCGGGUAUUCACUGUCCUUCGCAUGGGGGGUGGUGGAAAGGUUUUUUCUGGUGGGGGAUGGGCUCGCGGCCUAUCAGCUUGUUGGUGGGGUGAUGGCUUACCAAGGCUUUGACGGGUAACCGGCCUGAGAGGGUGACCGGUCACAUUGGGACUGAGAUACGGCCCAGACUCCUACGGGAGGCAGCAGUGGGGAAUAUUGCACAAUGGGCGAAAGCCUGAUGCAGCGACGCCGCGUGAGGGAUGACGGCCUUCGGGUUGUAAACCUCUUUCGCUCAUGGUCAAGCCGCAACUGUGGUUGUGGUGAGGGUAGUGGGUAAGGAAGCACCGGCUAACUACGUGCCAGCAGCCGCGGUAAUACGUAGGGUGCGAGCGUUGUCCGGAAUUAUUGGGCGUAAAGGGCUUGUAGGCGGUUUGUCGCGUCUGCCGUGAAAUCCUCUGGCUUAACUGGGGGCGUGCGGUGGGUACGGGCAGGCUUGAGUGCGGUAGGGGAGACUGGAACUCCUGGUGUAGCGGUGGAAUGCGCAGAUAUCAGGAAGAACACCGGUGGCGAAGGCGGGUCUCUGGGCCGUUACUGACGCUGAGGAGCGAAAGCGUGGGGAGCGAACAGG